rnacentral:rRNA from 1 species
CAGCCGCCGCGGUAAUACGGAGGGGGCUAGCGUUGUUCGGAACUACUGGGCGUAAAGCGCACGUAGGCGGCUUGGUAAGUUAGAGGUGAAAGCCUGGAGCUCAACUCCAGAAUUGCCUUUAAGACUGCCGAGCUAGCAGGUGAGAGAGGUAAGUGGAAUUCCGAGUGUAGAGGUGAAAUUCGUAGAUAUUCGGAAGAACACCAGUGGCGAAGGCGGCUUACUGGCUCAUACUGGACGCUGAGGUGCGAAAGCGUGGGGAGCAAACAGGAUUAGAUACCCGCGUAGUCCCUGUCUCUUAUAC